AAUCGCAGUGACGACUCAAAAAAUUCAAGCUCAACAGACCGGAUUGCAGGUUUUGAUUACUUGCGUGUCGAUAAACCCGCUGAACUGAGCGUUU
rnacentral:snoRNA from 1 species